UUGAGUUGAGAGAACUCUGGAGAAGGAACUCGGCAAAUUGACACCGUAACUUCGGAAGAAGGUGUGCCUUUAGUAGGUGAACCAUUUACUUGGGGAGCCCAAUGAGGCCGCAGAGAAUCGGUGGCUGCAACUGUUUAUUAAAAACACAGCACUCUGCAAAGACGAAAGUCGACGUAUAGGGUGUGACUCCUGCCCGGUGCUGGAAGAUUAAAUGAUGGGGUGCAAGCUCUUGACUGAAGUCCCAGUAAACGGCGGCCGUAACGAUAACGGUCCUAAGGUAGCGAAAUUCCUUGUCGGGUAAGUUCCGACCUGCACGAAUGGAGUAAUGAUGGCCACACUGUCUCCUCCAGAGACUCAGCGAAGUUGAAAUGUUUGUGAUGAUGCAAUCUCCCCGCGGAAAGACGGAAAGACCCCAUGAACCUUUACUGUAGCUUUACAUUGGACUUUGAACAGAUCUGUGUAGGAUAGGUGGGAGGCUUUGAAGAGUGGACGCUAGUUUGCUUGGAGCCAACGUUGAAAUACCACCCUGGUGUGUUUGAGGUUCUAACCUUGGUCCCUUAUCGGGAUUGGGGACAGUGUAUGGUGGGCAGUUUGACUGGGGCGGUCUCCUCCCAAAGUGUAACGGAGGAGUUCGAAGGUACGCUAAAUACGGUCGGAAAUCGUGUUGAUAGUGCAUUGGCAUAAGCGUGCUUGACUGCGAGACUGACAAGUCGAGCAGGUACGAAAGUAGGACAAAGUGAUCCGGUGGUUCUGUAUGGAAGGGCCAUCGCUCAACGGAUAAAAGGUACUCUGGGGAUAACAGGCUGAUACCGCCCAAGAGUUCAUAUCGACGGCGGUGUUUGGCACCUCGAUGUCGGCUCAUCUCAUCCUGGGGCUGUAGCCGGUCCCAAGGGUAUGGCUGUUCGCCAUUUAAAGAGGUACGUGAGCUGGGUUUAAAACGUCGUGAGACAGUUUGGUCCCUAUCUUCCGUGGGCGCUGCAAGAUUGAGAGAGCCUGCUCCUAGUACGAGAGGACCGGAGUGGACGCACCUCUGGUGUAUCGGUUGUCACGCCAGUGGCAUCGCCGAGUAGCUAAGUGCGGAAGAGAUAACCGCUGAAAGCAUCUAAGCGGGAAACUCGUCUCAAGAUGAGUCUUGCCGGGGCCUAGAGCCCCCUGAAGGGUCGUUCGAGACCAGGACGUUGAUAGGCUGGGUGUGGAAGCGCGGUAACGCGUUAAGCUAACCAGUACUAAUUGCCCGUGAGGCUUGACCCU
rnacentral:rRNA from 1 species